GGAGAAGUACUCAAGUGGCUGAAGAGGCUCCCCUGCUAAGGGAGUAGAUCCUUUCAAAAGGGAUGCGAGGGUUCAAAUCCCUCCUUCUCCGCCA
rnacentral:tRNA from 17 species